rnacentral:rRNA from 1 species
GAGUUUGAUCAUGGCUCAGAUUGAACGCUGGCGGCGUGCCUAACACAUGCAAGUCGAGCGGUAGCGCGGGAGCAAUCCUGGCGACGAGCGGCGGACGGGUGAGUAACGCUUGGGAAUCUGCCUGUUAGUGGGGGACAACCCGGGGAAACUCGGGCUAAUACCGCAUACGCACUACGGUGGAAAGCCGGGGACCGCAAGGCCUGGCGCUAACAGAUGAGCCCAAGUCGGAUUAGCUAGUUGGUGAGGUAAUGGCUCACCAAGGCUUCGAUCCGUAACUGGUCUGAGAGGACGACCAGUCACACCGGAACUGAGACACGGUCCGGACUCCUACGGGAGGCAGCAGUGGGGAAUAUUGGACAAUGGGCGAAAGCCUGAUCCAGCGACGCCGCGUGGGUGAAGAAGGCCUGCGGGUUGUAAAGCCCUUUCAGUGGGAAGAAAAGCCUCGUUCUAACACAACGGGGUCUUGACGUAACCCAUAGAAGAAGCACCGGCUAACUCUGCGCCAGCCGCCGCGGUAAG